rnacentral:tRNA from 1 species
AAAAAUAAGGGCUAACCCCCUUCACUCCUACCAC